AACAAAUGAACAGGAGCCAUGUUGUUGAUGAACAUAACAGGAACCUUCAAUGUUUCAGAAAAGAAAGGAGUGCAUGAUCAGAAACACAAUACUUCUUGAUCCAUCAUAAGUUGAUCUUCCUCAAGUGUCUCGUUGAGAUUGGUCAACUUCUAGUUAUUCAUCUUUUGGUAAUUAUCCCAUAUGUCAAUCUGAACCAUUAAAAUCAGGAAUCAAAGACUAAAUGGUACAAGCAGACCAAUGCAGUAGCUCUACUAAAGAUAGAAAGCACAAAUAUGUGAGAUAAAUAGGUGGUGGUGAGUAUUACCUUGGACUGCACAACAAACCAAAGUGAGCAAACCAAUCCGUAAAGCUCAUUAACUUUGGCUUGGAAGCAUUAGAAUGCAUUAUGACAUUUUUGUUACCUCCUAUGAUGAAUGAUUCUAGAAAAAAACUCGACCAUGGCAUAAAAUCUUCCAGCUUUAUUUGUCCAAAUAAAUGAGGAAAACGUUCAUGAGUCUUGCAUAUAAAAAGGAAAGAAAUUAUUAGACUGAUUAACCAAGAAAAGUAGGUGAAUUUAUUUGGGGGGAGGGGACUGGUUUCGCCGCUCGACACUCUUUCCGAACUUGAUAUUUCUGUUUGAUGGCUUCGUCAUAAACUGAGCUAUGUCAGAACACAUCAAGCUCAUUCCAGAUACCAGAACAUCUGGGGGAACUACAUAGUUGCUACAUCAAAUAUUUAUGGUUUCAGAAUGUGAGAAUCCGCGGAUUCAUCAGGAAGAACAUAAAUAGUACUUCAGUGUACAUAUGGUGUGUUACUACUAUAUACAAGAAUUAGGCUUGGAUACCCCUUAUUCUUAUCUUGCCUCAGCAAUUUGGGAUUAGGAUAAAAUCAUAGGGUGUUUGGAAAGUAAAACAAAACAUGCCCACUAAGAAACAAACCAUAAGAAUUCUAGCUUAAGAUAAUCAAGCACUUCCAUUGGCAUGUCAACAAUCAGGCAGACCAAACUUUAAGUCCUCAAUUUUUCCCUCUACAAAAUUAACCAUGGAACAUUUGUGUGUGUGUGUGUGUGUCUAAAACAAUAAUCAUAACCUUUAUGACAGCAGUGCAUAUUAGAAGAUCAAAAUGCCUACCUCUAUGUAACAAUUCCAUUGCAUGUACAUACCAUGUUAUGCAUCCGAUCCUUGCCCUGAAGUGAUCUAUCAUACGAC
rnacentral:lncRNA from 1 species